AGCAGCCGCGGUAAUUCCANCCCCNNAUAGCGUAUAUUAAAGUUGCCGCAGUUAAAAAGCUCGUAGUUGAAUUUCGGGACUGAUAUGUCGGUCGUGCCUCGGUACGUACUGGUAUUUUUGGUUUCUCCCUUCUGACGAACCUUGAUGUCAUUAAUUUGGUGUCUUGGGGAAUCAGGACUGUUACUUUGAAAAAAUUAGAGUGUUUAAAGCAGGCUCACGCUUGAAUACNUAAGCAUGGAAUAAUGAAAUAGGACGUUUGAUUCUAUUUUGUUGGUUUCUAGGAUCGACGUAAUGAUUAAUAGGGAUAGUUGGGGGCAUUAGUAUUCAAUUGUCAGAGGUGAAAUUCUUGGAUUUAUUGAAGACUAACUACUGCGAAAGCAUUUGCCAAGGAUGUUUUCAUUAAUCAAGAACGAAAGUUAGGGGAUCCGAAGACGAUCAGAUACCGUCGUAGNCUUAACCAUAAACUAUGCCGACUAGGGAUCGGAUGAUGUUAAUUUUUUAAUGACUCA
rnacentral:rRNA from 1 species